AAUGAAGAUGCAAAACAAGCAAACUCAGCAAAAGAAAGAAUCUAGCUGCCUUCAAUGGGUUAGAUUUCCCAGGUCUAGAAAGAGGAAGUAGAGUAGAAGACCUUCCUAUCAGCUUGCUGAUAAAUUGCCAGCCCCCCUGGCUUACUAAUUCUGGAGUAAGAAACAGUUAGUGAAAGGCAGCUCCAAAAAGAGUGACCACUGGAAGCAAAGAAGAGAGCCAAAUAUGGAUUCAAGACAGUUAGGAGUCGAGUUGUGAAAAGAAACAAGCCCAGGUAGCCUGGAUGAACUGUCUGCCCAACAGAGAUGCUGAACCCAGCCUAAG
rnacentral:lncRNA from 1 species